rnacentral:rRNA from 1 species
CCUACGGGGGGCAGCAGUGAGGAAUAUUGGUCAAUGGCCGUAAGGCUGAACCAGCCAAGUAGCGUGAGGGAAGACUGCCCUAUGGGUUGUAAACCUCUUUUAUGCGGGGAUAAAGGUGUCCACGUGUGGAUGUUUGCAGGUACCGCAUGAAUAAGGACCGGCUAAUUCCGUGCCAGCAGCCGCGGUAAUACGGAAGGUCCGGGCGUUAUCCGGAUUUAUUGGGUUUAAAGGGAGCGUAGGCCGGUCUUUAAGCGUGCCGUGAAAUUUUGGGGCUCAACCAUGAGAUUGCGGCGCGUACUGGGGACCUUGAGUGCACGGAAGGCAGGCGGAAUUCGUGGUGUAGCGGUGAAAUGCUUAGAUAUCACGAAGAACCCCGAUUGCGAAGGCAGCCUGCUACAGCGUUACUGACGCUGAAGCUCGAAAGCGCGGGUAUCGAACAGGAUUAGAUACCCGUGUAGUC